rnacentral:rRNA from 1 species
UACGGAGGGUGCAAGCGUUAUCCGGAUUCACUGGGUUUAAAGGGUGCGUAGGCGGGCUGGUAAGUCAGUGGUGAAAUCUCCAGGCUUAACUUGGAAACUGCCAUUGAUACUAUCAGUCUUGAAUACCGUGGAGGUCAGCGGAAUAUGUCAUGUAGCGGUGAAAUGCUUAGAUAUGACAUAGAACACCAAUUGCGAAGGCAGCUGGCUACACGAAUAUUGACACUGAUGCACGAAAGCGUGGGGAUCAAACAGG